rnacentral:rRNA from 1 species
UUAUAAGAGACAGCAGCAGCCACGGUAAUACGUAGGUGGCAAGCGUUGUCCGGAAUUAUUGGGCGUAAAGGGCUCGCAGGCGGUUUCUUAAGUCUGAUGUGAAAGCCCCCGGCUCAACCGGGGAGGGUCAUUGGAAACUGGGAAACUUGAGUGCAGAAGAGGAGAGUGGAAUUCCACGUGUAGCGGUGAAAUGCGUUGAGAUCGGAAAGAACACCAACGGCGAAAGCACUCUGCUGGGCCGACACUGACACUGAGAGACGAAAGCUAGGGGAGCAAAUGGGAUUAGAUACCCGUGUAGUCCCUGUCUCUUAUAC